rnacentral:misc_RNA from 1 species
GAUGAAGAACGUAGCGAAAUGCGAUACUUGGUGUGAAUUGCAGAAUCCCGUGAACCAUCGAGUCUUUGAACGCAAGUUGCGCCCGAAGCCAUCAGGUUGAGGGCACGUCUGCCUGGGCGUCACAUAUCGUUGCCCAAUGCCUAUUGCAGUGCAAUAGGAAUUUCUAGGGCGAAUGAUAGCUUCCCGUGAGCGUUGUUGCCUCGCGGUUGGUUGAAAAUCGAGUCCUUGGUAGGGUGUGCCAUGGUAGAUGGUGGUCGAGUUAGAACGAUACCGAUCAUGUGCAUGCUCCCCAAAAUAUGGCCUCUAUGACCCACACGCGUCUUUUGACGCUCAUGACGAGACCUCAGGUCAGGCGGGGCUACCCGCUGAAUUUAAGCAUAUCAAUAAGCGGAGGA